rnacentral:rRNA from 1 species
AGUGAACGCUGGCGGUAGGCCUAACACAUGCAAGUCGAACGGCAGCACAGUAAGAGCUUGCUCUUACGGGUGGCGAGUGGCGGACGGGUGAGGAAUACAUCGGAAUCUACUUUUUCGGGGGGGAUAACGUAGGGAAACUUACGCUAAUACCGCAUACGACCUACGGGUGAAAGCAAGGGAUCUUCGGACCUUGCGCGAUUGAAUGAGCCGAUGUCGGAUUAGCUAGUUGGCGGGGUAAGGGCCCACCAAGGCAACGGUCCGUAGCUGGUCUGAGAGGAUGGUCAGCCACACUGGAACUGAGACACGGUCCAGACUCCUACGGGAGGCAGCAGAGGGGAAUAUUGGACAAUGGGGGCAAGCCUGACCCAGCCAUACCGCGUGGGUGAAGAAGGCCUUCGGGUUGUAAAGCCCUUUUGUUGGGAAAGAAAAGCAGCAGGUUAAUACCCCGCUGUUCUGACGGUACCCAAAGAAUAAGCACCGGCUAACUUCGUG